rnacentral:rRNA from 1 species
AAUAUUGGACAAUGGGCGAAAGCCUGAACCAGCCAAGCCGCGUGCAGGAAGAAGGCCUUAGGGUUGGAAACCGGUUUUUUUAGGGAGGAAAAUGAAGGUACCGUUAUCAAUAUAUGGAUCGGGCCCAGCCUUCGCAAU